ensembl:lncRNA
CUUGUUUCUAAAACGCACCCAGCCGCUGGGUUUUGGUUAAGCAGUAUGAAUGUAUAUUAAUAUUUUUGGCAUUACACUUGGGCCAGUAUUUGCAUAUUUAAAAAUGAAAGAAAUUUUAGUUCUUGCACUCAGUGAAUUCAAUUCAGUUAGGAGGAUAGUUAGCAUACUGUAAUAUGUGCAGUGAAAGAGAUGUACACAACCUAUUUGUGAAUACAGCCAUAUAGUAACCACACAAGAAAAUACUAUGAGAGUUUGAUGUUAUUUUGUAUUUAUAGACUAUAAUUUAGACAGAAGGUGACAGCCCAUUAUGUAACCUAAACUUAACUUGGCUCUGAUUUUCACUCACAAAAUGAGAAGACAGAAGAUAAGGAAGACACCUAGAGCAGAUGCUGAAAUUUUGGAUUUCUAAUCUUAAUUCUUCUGCUGUGUGACCUUAUAUUCCAGAGCAACAUACGGUUCCAAAAGCCAGCAGUGCAUUUUUCCUGAUGACAGAAUAACAUUCUAUAAGUAAUUGUUGAAGUAAUCAUAAACAACACGUUGAUUAGCAAUCAGGAGGGCUUCAAAUCAAAAAAUGAAAGCUGAUAUAGAAGAAACACUCUUUCCUAAUUGGGAAAAAGGUGUCACUUUGAGAUGAAUUUAAUAGUCAUAAAGACUAAAAGGAAAUUGGUAUUAUAUGGAAGGAAUCUUGCAUUCCCCAGAGUUAGUGCUGUCAUUUAAUUUAGGCAAGAGAAUCUGCCUAAAUUUAAUUUAGGCAGCAAAAGAAUUGAAAAACGGAAGGUUGGGGAAUGUGCUGUAAUAACUUUUCGAAGCUGGCAUUGCAGCACAUGACCCACACACACCUUUAGGCCCUUCAAUUCAGUUCAGUUCAGUCGCUCAGUCGUGUCUCACUCUUUGACCCCAUGGACUGCAGCACGCCCAGCUUCCCUGUCCAUCACCAAUUCCAGGAGUUUACUCAAACUCAUGUCCAUUGAGUAAGUGAUGCUGUCCAACCAUCUCAUUCUCUAUCGUCCCCUUCUCCUCCCACCUUCAGUCUUUCCUGGCAUCAGGAUCUUUGCCAAGGAGUCAAUUCUUCACAUCAGGUGGCUAAAGUAUUGGAGUGUCAGCUUCAGCAUCAAGUCUUUCCAAUGAAUAUUGAGGACUGAUUUUCUUUAGGAUUGACUGAUUGGCUCUCCUUGCAGUCCAAGGGACUCUCAUGAGUCCUCCGACACCACAGUUCAAAAGCAUCAAUUCUUCGGUGCUCAGCUUUCUUUAUAGUCCAACUCUCACAACUAUACAUGACACUGGAAAAACCAUAACUUUGACUAGAUGGACCUUUGUUGGCAAAGUAAUGUCUCUGCAUUUUAAUAUGCUGUCUAGGUUGGUCACAGCCUUUCUUCUAAGGAGCAAGCAUCUUUUAGUUUCAUGGCUGCAGUCACCAUCUACAGUGAUUUUGGAGCCCUCAAAAAUAAAGUCUCACUGUUUCCAUUGUUUCCUCAUCUAUUUGCCAUGAAGUCUUGGGACCGGAUGCCAUGAUCUUAGGUUUCCGAAUGUUGUAUUUUAAGCCAACUUUUUCACUCCUCUUUCACUUUAAUCAAAAGACUGUCUAGUUCUGCCAUAAGGGUGGUGUCAUCUGUGUAUCUGAGGUUAUUGACAUUUGUCCUGGCAAUCUUGAUUCCAGCUUGUGCCGUGUCCAGCCCGGCAUGUCUCAUGAUGUACUCUGCAUGUAAGUUAAAUAAGCAGAGUGACAAUAUACAGCCUUGACGUACUCCUUUCCCUAUUUGGAACCAAUCUGUUAUUCCAUGUCCGAUGCUAAUUGUUGCUUCUUGACCUGCAUACAGAUUUCUCGGGGCAGGUAAGCUGGUCUGAUAUUCCCGUCUCUUUAAGAAUUUUCCACAGUUUGUUGUGAUCCACACAGUCAAAAGCUUUGGCAUAGUCAAAAGCAGAAGUAGAUGUUUUCCUGGAAUUCUCUCGCUUUUUUGAUGAUCCAACAGAUGUUGGCAAUUUGAUCUCUGGUUCCUCUGCCUUUUCUAAAUCCAGCUUGAACAUCUGGAAGUUCAUGGUUCACGUACUGUUGGAGCCUGGCUUGGAGAAUUCUGAGCAUUACUUUGCUAGUGUGUGAAACUGCUGACUGUUCUCCUCUUUGCAUAACUGACUCUCACCCUUCAAUUUCAGCUUAAAUUUUAGUUGUCAGGUUGUGCACCUAUGUAAGCUGCCCUUACCCUCCACCCUUACUCUAAUUCCUCAUUUCACCUACUGUUUGUUUUCUUCAUAGCAUAUGUUUAUAUGCUGUUGUCUGUCUUACUACUAGGUGUAAGGUUUGUGAGGGCAAAAACUACAUCUGUUUUUUCCCCCCAUUGUUGUAUAUACAUUGCAUGGUACAUACUGCAUAUUUGUUGAUAAAAAUUAUUUUGGUGGUUCCCAGUUCUCAAAUUACAUGGCUGACCAAACCUGCUUAAAAAUGGAAAUGUUUCAACAGUGUAUUUUCCCAUGUUCUUAUAUUAGUUCAAGGUUGAUACAGGAAAUGUGUUGAUAUAUGUAAUUUAUGUGCUCAUCUUGAGCUUUUAUUGAAUGUGCAAGGCACUGUGCUAAAUGCUAGGUGAAUACAAAGGUGAAUGAUGCAUAGUCUUCCCUAAAGAAGUACAGACGUUUUUAAACAAACAGUUUUAAUGCAAGGCAAAAUGAAAUAAAUGCUAAAUUUGUACAAGCAAUGAUGUAUAGCAGCAAUGAAGGAAAAAAUGAUUAAUUACAGGAAGGGCCUUACAGAGUUGAAUUUUUAUUUUGGUCUUGAGAUAGAAAAGAGGAACUGAAGUCCCUAUAGAGACAAAUAUUUUAAGGACUUAUCUUCACUAUCUUUCACUUUAAAAGUCCUUAAAAUUGUAACAUGGACCACAAAGCAGUCUUAUAAAACAUUGUCAUAAAGCAGUCUUUGAACUGCAAGGAGAUCAAACCAGUGAGUCCUAAAGUAAAUCAACCCUGAAUAUUCAUUGAAAGGACGGAUGCUAAAGCUCUAAUACUUUGGCCACCUGAUGCAAAGAGCCGACUCAUUGGAAAAGACUCUGAUGCUGGGAAAGAUUGAAGGCAAGAAGAGAAGGGGGUGACUGAGGAUGAGAUGGUUGGAUGGCAUCACUGACUCAGUGGACAUAAGUUUGAGCAAGCUCCAGGAGAUAGUGAAGGACAGGGAAGCCUGGCAUGCUGCAGUCCAUGGGGGUCACAAAGAGCUGGACAUAGUGACUGAACAACAACAAAGCAAUUUUUAAUAAAAUUAUUCUGGCCUUAAUGUCAUACUUCUAAAAUUAAGGUUAGCUAUACAAUUAGUUUGACUGUUUUGACUAGUUUGGUGCUUUCCAACUAGUUGAUAAGCCAUCAGUCUUAACAGUUGGUUCUUUGCUGACUGCGAAUGGCAGUUAGUAAUUAUUUAGUAAACUAAACAAUUGAGACAAAACCAUAAUGAUUAAACAGUUAUUUUUUGAGUGCUUUUUAAGCCAUUGGUGGCCUUUAAUGUAUGAUUCUCUGGCUGUGUCACAAGUUAAAAUAUAGUCUGUUUUGCAGUGGUCUAAUUUUUUUUUUAAGUCUGCUUUUGCUUUCCUUCGUGUGUUUUCCUAAGCGAGACAGACCUCCUUCCCCACUUACUAAAAAAAAAGAAGCAGCAACAGCAGAGCCUUUAGAUUCACAGACUUGAUUUCAGCUUGGCUACUUCACUUCUUAAUCACAGUUCUGCCCCUUUCCAAUUUUGUUACUUCUGACAUAUUUUACCCCCUUGAGGCUCAAUUUCAUCUUUAAAAUGAAAAUUUCUGUUAAUCUCAUUCUGUCAUUUAACUAGUUUCAUGAGUUCAGGCAAAUUAUUUAAUCUGUCUGGGCCUCAGUUUUUCCAUAUAAGAAAUGAAAUCGUCUUAAACAAGUAAUACAUAGGAGAGUGUCUGCAGUUAAGAAGCCCUCAGCAGAUGUUUUCCCCUCAUCCUCUUCCACCUCUUCCACUCCUGUAUAUCUUUCAAAGUUUGCUUCAAGUUUUGUUUGGUAUCAUCUUCCCUUUGAUAGCUCAUAGCAGGCUCCUUUUUUCCACAGUCAUUGCACCUGCCAUGUGUAUCUUGGAUUGGGGCUUCCCUGGUGGCUCAAACAGUAAAAAAUCUACCUGCAACGCAGGAGACCCAGGUUCAAUCCUUGGGUCGAGAAGAUCCCCUGGAGAAGGGAAUGGCAACCCACUCCAGUAUUCUUGCCUGGAGAAACCCACGGACAAAGGAGCCUGGAGGGUUACUAGUCCAUGGGGUCUCAAAGAGUCGGACACGACUGAGCAACUGACUUUCACUUUGACUAGAUUCGUAUGGAUCAGCAUUGUUUUGAGAACUUAUUAAAAGUGCAAUUAUUUGGGUCCCAUUUCUGAGUUUAUAGGUUUGGCAUGGGGUAGGUCUAUGUUUUUACCCUUCUCUUUCAGAUGUUCUGAUUCUCACAGAUGAUCAUAAUUUCUCACUUUUGGUAAUAAUUACAUGCUUCUUAAAGUUUAUAUUUGUUAGGUAAUUCUUACAUAAUGUAACCUUUCAGGUUACAUAAUUCUAGUUUAUAUGCCAAAUAGACUAUAAACUGCACAAGGGCACAAAAUACCCCUAAUAGUUUGUAUUUAGAAGUUGAUAAGUUGCUCCGUCCCCUUUUUCUCCCUUACUGAAGUUUGGAUCCAGUUUAGAAACAGGACACAGAAGUCAGAUAGAUAAAGAUUCAGAUAUAAGUUAAUUACUGAAACAGUUGUUGGGAAAAUGUGACUGAGGUUUGCAGAAACAAUGAACUCCCUAAUGUGGCACUCCAGAAUUACACAGAUUUCAACCUCAUGUUUCUCUGUCUACAAGAGUAGAGCUCGUCCCACUAUAUUUACUGUGUGACAGAGGGCAGGCCAGAACAAACAGCUCUCUUCAGUCAGACAAGUCCCAAGCGGAAAGGAGACAAGCAGGUUCUUUACCAACUGAGCUAUCAGGGAAGCCCAUGGCGUUCUUACUGUAGGUCAGAGGCAGUUCUAGGUCCUAGGAUAUUCAGACGUGAGUAUGACUCAGUCCUGCCCUUGAGCUCAGAGGGUAAGACAAAGUUACAACUUUUACUAAGUAUUCUAUCAGAAGGAAAAAUAUACUAUGGGAACAGAGAGAAGCAUCCAACUAAUUCUCCCAGCAGAAAUCCAAAACAGACUUGGUACAAGAAGUGACAUAAGAAAUUAGGUUAUGUUAGAUGAAUUUGAGUUUUCCAGGUGUAAGAGAAGGUCACUCCUGGCAAGCGGACCUGUGUAUGCACACACAGGAUGUUUGAAAAGGUGGAACUUCAAGCAACAGUAAGAGGUUCGGUGUAGCAAGAGUUCAGAAGCAUAAGGAGAUGAGACAGAGAAGUAUCGAUCGAUUGAAGGAUCUGUGUGCCUUGUUAAGGAAAAGACUUUGUUCUUUUGUUGUGAGAAGCCCAGAGGUUUUGAAUCUAGAAUCUAUAGGAUAAGGUGCUUGUGUUUUGGUAAGUUCUGUCAGCUGCUUAAAGGAUGGUAAAGAGAGAAGAGAUUAAAGACAGGAAAUUCUUUGCAUUGCUUCAAAUGGGAAAUAAAACUUGAACUAGAUAGCAAUGGAAGUAUGAGAAAGAUGGUCUAAAUUCCAGUGUUCAGUUCCAUUCAUUAAUUGAAUGUUAACUGUGUGUCAGGUUAUUAAUAAAUACUUUGAUACAAAAAAGAAUAAAAUCUCUCUGAUUUUGAGUUUUCUGUCUAGUGGAAAACAAAAACAAGUUGGUCAGCUUGGUAUUAUAAUGGUGAAGUGUUGUGACAAAGCCUUGUAUAAAGUAUGAAAAAAACAGUUUCAAAACUCAGACUGAGGAGCUCAUGAAGCCUUUCUGUAGUGAGGGGGGAACAUCCAAGUGGAAUCCAGGAGAAUGAGUAGGAGUUGCCCAGGUGAAGUGAAGGCCAAGGGGCAUUACAGGCAGAGGAAAUUAGUCCUGAGAAUUAAGGAACUAAGGGGAACUGUGUGGAAUUCAGUACUGCCGGAGUACGCGUGGGUGAGGAACGAUAUGAGUGAGCCCAGAGUAGGAGUGGAAGGUUCACCCGGGUUGCUGUGGUGGAGCUUUCAAGUUUGUAUGGAGCCCCUGAGUUGUGCUAUGGUGUCUAGACUUCAUCCUGUCACUGGUGGGGAGCCCGUGGACUGACACGGGCCACUUGGUUGAGGCGGCUUAUUCUGGUAAUGUAGAGGAUGGUAACAGCUAACUUUCAUUGAGUGCAUUUAAUGUGCCAAGCACUGUUGUAAGCAUUUUACAUGUAUCACAACAUGUUGAAACCAUCCUACUUUUAAUAGUCUUAUGUUAAUGACACAUUGAUUAAGUAGCUUGCUCAGGUUUACACAGUCAAGUGGCAGAGCCAGGACUCAAUCCCAGUAAUCUGACUCUAACCCACAGUGAGAUGCUGCUGAGUAGGUGAGAGCAUGGCCCAACUAUAGGGAAGAUUUGAACUGCCCUGGGUACAGGUAGCCGAUGGAGGGAAGUCUGUUUAGGCUGCCAUAACCCAGUACCACAGACUGAGUUGCCUCACAGCAGAAAUUUAUCUUCUCACAGCCCUGGAGACUAGAAGACCUUCAUGCUGUCAGAUUUGGGUUCUGGGUUCUUGCUUGUAAUUGACAGAGGACUGCCAUUUUGCUUUGCUUUCACUUAGCCUUUCCUCUGUGUGUUCGUGUGGAGAGAGCCAGCUCUUUGGGGUCUCUUAGGAGGACACUAACCCUAUCAAACAGGGCCCCACCCUUGUGACCUCAUUUAACCUUAACUACUUCCCUAAAGGCACCCUGUCUCCAAAGACAGUCUCCCUGAGAGUUAGGGCUUCACCAUGGUGGGCUGGGGGGAGUGCCGGGGUCGGGACACAAAAUACUCCAGCCUUAACAGUUUCAGAAAACAUUCAGGAGAUAAAAUCAGCACAGAAAGUUGGUGAUGGAGUUGAUGUGGAAAGCAAAGGAGAAGGGGGGAUUUAGAAUGACUCAGGUUUCAAACAGAGGACUCAGAAAAAGCACAUUUGGGGGAAUGGCGGUUCGGUUGGGAUUCUAGUAAACUAGAAGCACCUAGGAAGCAUCCAAUAGGUGUCGGCAGUACUGAUGUGAAGAGGGUCAUCAGCAUCUGAGGGGAGUUGAAGCCACGGUUUGGGUCAAACCACCUAGAAAAAUGUGGAGUGAAAAGAGGUAGUUUUAAAAAAAAAAGGGGGGAAAAUACUUAAGGGUAAACAGACAAAGAGUGAGGGGAGAAGCAAAAAAUAGAUAUCCAACCCUGAAGCCAGAGGAGGAGAGAAUUUCAAGCAACAAGGAGUCCUUAACACUCAAAUUCUUUAGCCUCCUGUGCAUCAGAUUUUAUUCUUUGGUGAGAAAAGGAAAUAAUGGUAGAAUCAUUGUGUUUUAUUGCCUACUAGGACCAGAGAGAAUAUUUUCCAAUCGCCUCAUUCUGAAACAAGGAAGCUGAAGCCUCACAAAGCCUAGAGUUUGUCUCUUUCGUGGUGCAGGUGGAGCUAGAAUUUAGGUCUCCCAAGCCUCUUGACUUCAAUCCAGUGCUUUCACGAUGUAUCAAGUUGAAUUCAACUUGUGGGGUUUGAAAAGUGGCUUUAAGUUGUAAAAAAAAAAAAAAAAAUUACACUAAAUAAAAUGGAGAAAGAAGCAUUAGGAUUUUAUUAUUGUAUGCAUUUGGGCAAAGGAAGACAUUUAAAAUGGAAGGAAGGAAGACAUUUAAAAAUGUCUGAAACUUUAUUUUUUUGGCCAUGCUGAGUGGCACAUGGGAAUCGUAGUUCACCAACCAGGGGUUGAACCUGCACUCCCUGCAUUGGACGCAGAGUUUUAACCACUGGACCGCCAAGGGAAUUCCCCAUAAUGCCAGCUUCUUUACCAACUGAGCCACAAGGAAAGCCCAGGAAUACUAGAGUGGGUAGCCUAUCCCUUCUCCAAGGGAUCUUCCUGACCCAGGAAUUGAACCAGGGUCUACCUGCAUUGCAGGUGGAGUCUUUACCAACUGAGCUAUCGGGGAAGCCCCUUAAAAUUUGAAAAAGAGAGACCAAUCGUGUUGGCCUUGAAUCUGAUAAGGAAAUUGACUGGGGCCUAGGGGCAGGGAUUCUGUUUCUACUCUAUUUAGAGUGGAAAUGGUACAUUACCAGGGUUAUGUGUUAGGCCCUGGGCACACGUUUAUUAAUGUGACUCCUUUUUAUGUUUUUCCUAUCAUUGACUAACCCCAUAUUAGGAAUUUAGCAACAUGGUAUUAUUAGAAAAUUAGUAUUAAGUCAGUAUCUUAUUACAGGCUUCAAACUGUCAGACUUUAUUACUUUUGGAAAGAAAUAGCUGACUCCUUUACAGUAUUUCAAAGUUGCCUUCAGCCUAAUGGACUCCCCUAAGUGAAAAUUUCUGUUGGUAACAGACAGACCAUGCAUCUUAUAAUUCAGUUAAUGAAAUUUAUGUCGAGUAUUAAUUAUAAAUAAAGCACUAUGCUAAGUACUUCAGUUUUGUAGGUUGAUCUGUAAGAUAUGUUGCAUCUGUUGUAGGUACAAAUCAUGUCAUGUAAACCUUUAGAUUCACAAAUACUUCAGUGGGGUCAGUGGGGUCAAUAGUGCCGGUGUGUCCUCAGCAGGACUUAUUAUUGAAAAUGCGAUUUGCCUUUGGUUUGUACUUAGCACUUUCAAAAUUUUAAAAACAAAACUAAAGCAGGUUUAGUCACUUUUGGUUUUUUUUUUAAAUCAUCAACUAAGCAAGCAUGAAUUUGACUAGUAACACGAUGUAUACUCAGUUGUGUCUGACUCUUAGCAAGUCCAUGGACUGUAGACCUCCAGGCUCCUCUGUCCAUGGGAUUCUCCAGUCCAGAAUACUGAAGUGGGUUGCCCAUUUCCUACUCUAGGGGAGCCUUCUGACCCAGGUAUCAAGUCUGCGUCUCCUGCAUUGGCCAGAGGAUUCUUAAGCACUGAGCCACCUGUCAUAUGAAGAGUUAGAUGCAAAUUCUAAAUUCUAACUGAGUAACACAAUAGAAAGACUAUUUUUCCCACUUUAUAACUCUAUAGUUUGAAAUCGUGUAAGCCAACAUUCAAAAUAAUAUAUACAUACCAUAAAGAUACUGUUGUUCUAUAUUUAUAUUUUUGGUAGGUUUUAGCAUAUCAGUUAAGGUAGAAUUGUACAGAAAAUAAGUGAUUGACCAGCAGAGACAACUUUGGUACUUGGCCAUUAGCAGGACUUUUAUAUGGUAUAUGCAUAUUACAGAGAGAACACUUUGUGGAAAAUAAACCAAUCUGGGUAUAUGUAAGCAUUGCGUAAAAGGACUGGGUAACCUGCAGUUUGCAUCAUAAAAAUAAUGUGCUAUAGUAGGGUAAGGUCCUCCAUAGGACAGCCCUCAGGCAAAUUGUAAACUAGGCAGAGCAUAGCUUCAGAGGAAUCAGAGUCCUGGCACAACCAACCAUGGUAUGUUAUUCCAAAUAUGAAAUCUCACUACUGAAGGCAUCUAAUGAAAAGUUUAUAACGCUGCAUUAUUCAAGACUUUCAGUAGAAUGAGGAGCUUAUCGUAUUCAUCUUAAUAGUCUGAUCCUAGCAUGGUUCUUGGGAAUUAAUAUUCAGUAAAUGUUUAUUAAAUAAUUGCAUUCUGUUCGUUAAGCGACACAUUAAGAAAUUUUGACUAGGGGUUAUAUUAACAUUGUGCUAUCAUCAGAAGAGGAGGCAUUUAACAGUUGUUUAUUGUGCAUCAGCUGUAAUGCCAACACAGUGUUGACUCUCACUGCGUUGGCAUUAGGAAUACAAAAAACAAAUAAAAUGGGCCUUCAAGCAGUGAGAUUGGGGAAGAACUUGUAAAGAGCUCUGAUAAAAGGUGCCCCAGGAGAAACAUGAAGACAAAUAACUAUAAAAUAGUACAAUCCUAAAAAUAUCUAUAAACAGAAUAUAAUUAUGAUAUUAUCAAAAUACAAAGUGCUGUGUGAUCCCAGAAGAGAAAUUAAUUCCAUUUGGAGGCGGGAGUAUUCAGCAAGGUUUCAUAGGGAAAGUGACCUGUGAGUGGAACUUUGAAGACUAUCCCACUGGCCUCUUGGAUAUCUCAGAUCCAUUGUGUCUGUUGCUAUAUUCAUUAUUUUCCCAUUCCACACAUCUCAUCUGUCCCAGACCCACAUAUCUGACAGUCUUGAACAUAAUAACUGAUUUUACCAUUCAUCCUUGAGUCCUUCCCUAUGGAAAAUGCUGGAAUCACUUGACUCCCUUUCUUUCCCCUUCAAUAUUAAAUUUAGUCACUGUGGUUGCUUGAAGUUUUGAAUAGUUGAGUUUUUAAAUAUAAGUAUACUUUGUUCAUAAUCAAAAUUUGUAUCUUAGCAUAUCAGUCUGCUAAUUGCAUAUUUUAAUUUUGUUGAAGUAUAUCCAAAGAUGUCGUAUUUUGAAACAAUGCACUUUUUUCCACAUUGAAAAAUACAAUUGUACUAUCUAAGUAAUAUACUGAAAAUCUUAAAGAACUUAAAUGUUCUAAAGAGGUUACCCUGGUAAGCAGUCAUAACAGCAUUUUUAUUUUAAAUAAUAAUAUUAUUCUAAGAGUAUCUUUCUUUAAUUUGUCCUUAUCUCUACAGAACCAUAAAACGUUAGCACCAUUCUAGAAUUUCUAGACAGUAAUACAUUUCUGCUGCCAUUUGGAGGAGCCUGCACCACAGAGUCAGGAGGAGGAGUUGAGUCUGACGUGCCUUCAUUUGAAAUUCACACCUCCCCCCAGAAGAAUUCUUAGUCAAAUUUCAUAGUGAAUUGUGUCUUCCAGAUUUCUCUAGUACUAAAUUUAACAGAAGGCAUAGUUAUAACUAAUUAUUUUGUAGAGGUUCUAAUGAUGUUCUGACACCACUAAAAGAACAGAUAUUCUGAAAACUGAAAGUGAAACGGUCAGACCUUGGCAUCUGUAGUGAACAAGUACUUAGAGAUCUGUUGAUGGAUAUCUAGGUAAUUGUGAGAUUAGACCACGAGUGUGGGAGGACUCUGUGCUUUUCUAAUGAAACUGUUCUAAGUUUUGAUAAAAUCCAUGACGCAAGUCCCGGUCUCUUUCAAUCCAAUUUUUUAAAAAAAAUAUCCAUAAAUAGUUGUUCUCUAGAGUGGUCUUAGGAGUGAGGGAAAGCAGAAGUUUCUGAAAAUGUCAUUGUCUUUCUCUUAAAUCUUAUGCCAGAGUUACUAAGAAUUAGCAGAGUUCUUUGAUACAAGAUAUAUCCUUCUGAUAACUUGCUCUGGUGAAAUACUAGAAAAAUGUUUUGAGAAAUAAAAGACAGAUGUGAGAGUUAAAGGAAAUUUUAGUUAAUUAACAGAGUUGCAUUAAAAUAAUCUUACCAUGAUUGUGAAGUCUUAAAUUCUAAAUUUGCCUGUGCUAGUAUAAAAGCUAAUUAUAUAUUUUACUUAAUUUUUAAAAUUUUAUAGUAAAUAGCCAAUUUCUAUCAAUAUAUAAGAUGGAAAAUUGCAUUUAGAAUUGCCUUCAGAAUUAAAUUCUUAAUGCCUUUGCAAAAUGUAAUUGAAAGGUCUCUAAAGGCCAAGAUGAACACUUUAUUUCUGAUAUGUCCUUGCAGUCUGUUGCUGAUGUGUAUGAGGAAAGAAAGGUAUUCAGUACUUCCUAACUGGAGUAUUUAUCAACACCACCUACCCCUGAUACUCAUGAACAGUCCUGGAAUCGUUUCAUACCUGGUGACAUCACAUUCAUCCUCUAAGUUUUAACUCAGGGUCAGUUCUUGAAGUCAUGCUUACUCUCACAUCGUAAGACUGCAGAACUAGACCUGAAGCUAUUUUCUUUCCUCCAAAGUGGCAUCUGCAAUCCAGGAACAUGAAUACAGAAAUAGCUUCAGGUGUAGCCUCUUGGUCCAUACUGCUAGACUUCUGUUACACCAAAUUUAAUGAGAGCCAAUAGAAGCCAUUUUCCAUUAAUUUUUAAAUAUUAUAUAUUUAUAAGCUCACUAAAAUGGGUGAAUGUAAAUAUUAACUGCUAUUACUAUAAUAUAAAAAAUACAUAAAGUAAUACUUGUAAAAUACUCAAAUUUAUUAAUUUUUCUUAACUAAUCUUAAGCCAUUUUUAUUCUCUGCUUUGACAAUCCUGUUUUUUUCCAAACUUGAUUAGGUUUAUGUUUUCCAUUAAUCUGCUGUGGCUUCAUAACCACAAGACUGUACCAUCUAUUAAAAGUUGAAUUUCAUUCUUGUGCUUGUUAUCUUUAAAAAGAACUCAGUCAUUUUUGCUAAUCCUGUAAGAGUGCUUCCCUACCGUAAUCAAAAGUAAAACAAUGCAGAAUAAAAUGUCUAUAUAUGCCAAAAAUUACCUUAUGACUGUGCAUUUCUAGUAAGAAUCGAAUUUUUCCACCACUUUCCAGCUAUUCUUGCUCUUUUACAUUUGACUUUAUGAAAAUAUAAUUUAUAUUGAAUCCAUACAUUCAUGAGGCUGACUUUUGAACAAGACUUGAACUAAAGGAUCCAUGAUACUGUUUACUGAGAAUUAAUUUAUUUGAAAGAUGUUAUGAGGAUAUGAAAAUGAAAAUUUGCCUUUUAGAAGAGAAUUAUAUGAGAUCAGAACUCAAGAAAACAUGAACUAUCUCUUUGGAGAAUGGGCCUUUGCUCUUUGAUAUGUCUUGGUAGAAUACCUAACAGUUGCACAGAAAGAUGGGCAUUUAACGAAAAGUUUUUAAUAAUCAGGGAAUGAAUUUCCUUAGAUAAGAAGUAACCAAAACUGCUUUUAUUCUCAUUGUCCCUAAACGUGUAGGAAGCAGAGCAUUUUAAUACUGGGCUUGGACAAGAAAACCACACACAAGAUCAGAAGUAUGCCAUGUAGAAGGAUCAAGAUUUACGGAGGCCCAGUUAUCUGAAGGACAUGUUAGUAGAGCCACAUGUGUCAUUGCGUAGCUGUAAACUGAUUAAGUUAAGCACUUACUGAAAUUGCUUUCUGAAAACUUAAGUGAUCAUAAAAUAUGAUGCAGAAGUUCAAAGUGGGAAAGUUGCCUUAGACUAAGAGUAAAAUGAGAACCCAAUUAUGUACCAAAUUGUUUUGCAGUACCUAAAAGUUUUCACUAACAGAAAUUCACAGGUGAUUUUUUCUUUCUUUUAAAGAAUGAGAAUUGAAUCAUCUGUUGCUUGUAUUAUUAGUGUACUUGUUUAAGCAGAAGUCUCGUUUCUAUGGAGUGCUUGAGACUUCUUUUUCACUCCUACUCUCUCUGCUUGUGAGUCAUCAAGACCAAAGUGCUUUUUUCCUCCACACACAAAGAAAAUGCCGUUGACCCAUUGUCUUGGUCUGCUCAGGCUGUGGUAAUAAGUUACCACUGGCUUAAACAACAAGCACUGAUUUUUCAUGGUUCCAGCGGCUGCUGGUGGCUGGAAGUCUGAGAUCAGGGUGUCAGCAUGGUCAGGUUCUAGUGAAGACCUUCCUGGUUUACAGACCACCGUUUUGCUAUUUCCUCAUCCGGCAGUGAGAGAGAGACCAUCUCUUGUGUCUUUCUGGUAAGAGCACUAAUUUCAUCCACGAAGGCUCCAGCCUCAUGACCCAGUUACCUCCCAAAGAUAUGUCCAUGGGUUCUCAGUCAGGUCUGACUAUUUGCAACCCCAUGGACUGUAGCCCACCAGGCUUCUCCAUCCAUGGGGUUCUCCAGGCAAGAAUACUGGAGUGGGUUGCCAUUUCCUACUUCAGGGGAUCUCCAAAUCUCAUGUUGGACAUUAGGUUCAACAUAUGAAUUUGGAAGAGGGGAACACUUCAUCAUCAGGGAGCAUCUGUAAUCAUCCGUGUUCUGCUCUAUUCAUAUUCCCCCUAUUGAAGUCCAUGCAUUUGUGAACCCUUGGCGGCUUGUUAGAGAGCCAUGGAUGGCUACAGACUCUGCUUAGACAAUCUAAGCUUUCUCUGGACUUGAGCAAGGAUAAAGCAUGAAGAGGUGAAAGGCAUGACCUUUGGCCUUAUUAACACAAGAACUGAGUCAGGUUCUAAAGUAUCAGUACAGAGAUUUGGUUUUGGUGUCUUAGAACCUUUCUUCUGUUUCUCAUCUUUCCCUCUCCACUCCGCAUUCCUUCCCUGUCUUGUGACCUGUGCUUUUUCUGCUGUUUAUCCAUCAAGCCACAUUCUGAAGGCAAUAUAGGAAAGGCAUUAUAGUAAUUAAUGACAGAGGCUUGGGGAACCAGACUCAGAAGCUCAUAGCCCGGCUCUGCCACUUAAUAAGUAUACCAUUUCAGAUAAGUGAGACCCUGAACAACAUUGUUUUCUCGGUUUCCUCUUCUGUAAAAUAGGAAUAGCACCUUCUUCAAAGAAUACUGUUGAGGUUUAACAAGGUAAUGCAUUUAAGGUGCUUAGUACACUGCCAAGCACAUAGAAAUGCAUACUAAAUAGCUAAAAAUGAAAAAGGAACUAGACUUGUUUACAGUGAGCUUGAUGGAUUUAACAUAAGAUAAUGUGUGACUUCUCUCAGAAAAAUUAGCUUUUUCAACAGGAAGUAAGGAAAUAAUCUCUAAAUAUGAAAUUAGGAAUACAACACAGCUGGUGGGAAAGGCUUUAUUUUAAAAGAGCUAAUCCCAGUGCUCCUAUAACCAUACAUACAUGCUUGUUGUGCUGAAUACAGGAAUAUAGACCUUUAUCCACCUGUUUUUGCUACUUUAAGCUUGGCUGUGUCCCAGGAUGAACCAUUUUUGCUUUUUUAUGCAUGAAUUAGUUUCCUAAUGUUGCCAUAACAAAUUACCCACAAAAUCAGUGUCUUAACAUAAGUUUAUUCUCCACAGCCUGGAGGCCACAAAUCCAAAACCAAGCUGUCAGCAGGUUGGUCCCUCUGGUGGCUUGAGGGAAGAACAUCCCAUGCCUCUCUCCUAGCUUCCCGGGUUGCCAGGAUUUCUUGACUUGGAGCUGCCUGACUCCUGUGUCUGCCUGUCUUUCACAUGCCCUUCCCCGUGUCUAUCUCAAAUCUCCCUCUGCCUCUCUUAGAAGGACACCUGCCAUUGGAUUUAGGGCCCACUCUAAAUUGAGGACUUAUCUCGUUGGUAAGAAUCUUAUCUCAUUGAAUCUUAUCUCAUUCAAGAUUUUUAAUUAUAUCGUCAAAGACCAUUUUGCCAAAUAAGGUCACAUUCACAAAUUCUAGGGUUAGGACAUGGACCGCCUUUUUGGAGAAGGAAAUGGCAACCCACUCAGUACUCUUGCCUGGGAAAUCCCAUGGACAGAGGAGCCUAGCAGGCUACAGUCUAUGGGGUCGCAAGAGUUGGAUACAACUUAGCAACUGAACCACCACCACCAUACAUUUUUGGAGAACCACCAUGCAACCACUGUGUGCUGUGUAAGAGAACCAGACUCAGGGGAAUGGGAGAAUGAACUGGGAAGGGAAAACCAUACUUCCUGAAAAUUCCACAGAGUGGAAAUACUGGAGCCUCCCUGCCAGUGUGGGCAUGGGACUGCAGAUCAGUUUUCUAGGUAAAGAAAACCUCUCCCCACCUGCCAGGUCUUCAUCUUCAGCUGCAGUGAACUGCUAAAUAGGUGUGCCCAGUUUCCCUUUCUUUUCCAAGUAUGUCAGUGCUGUCUAAUUUCCGAAGCCUGUUAACUCUGGGUAAAGAACAAGCAGGGGUGCUAGAAGUGCUUGCCUGUGAUUUGGGCUUGAGAGCCAUGGUGGAAUGUUCUAAGAGCACCAGCUGAAGAAGACAUCCACAGGUCUCAGUGUAUAUUAGCCCCUUCAGUCACUUCACUACCAUCAACCCAUUUGUAGCAGGAAUAUACCAGACCCCGUGUAUGCUAAGUCAUUUCAGUCGUGUCAGACUUGGCAACCCUAUGAACUGUAGCCCGCUGGGCUCCUCUGUCCAUAGAAUUUCCCAAGAAAGAUUACUGGAGUGAGUUGCCAUUUCCUUCUCCAGGGGAUCUUCCCAACUCAGGAAUCGAACCUGUGUCUCUUACGUCUCCUGCACUAGCAAGCAGGUUCUUUGCUACUAGUGCCACCUACCAUGUAUCAGGUGUAUGGAACUGGAAAUUUGGUUAACAAGUAAGUAAGUGGAAAAGAUUAGUAUUUUUGACAUUUUUGGUUUUGGUCUGAAUGCAGCACUGGAAAUUGGCUGCAAGGGCUGAGUAGGGAAAGAUAAGGAAGUCACCUAAUUUUGUGCACCACAGGAGUGUGACUUGUGACUUUUAAAAGGACAUUGUUAAAACUCUUUACCUGAGACUUAGAAUUUGAGCCUAGUAGUUCCACCUAAAAUUAUGGUUAGUUCAAGCAAACCCCAGGCUGGUAGAGGGUCACAGCUGUAUGUGAUAAAAAUUUCCCACCAAUAUGCAUAGCAAGCUGCCCAGAAAAGGGGCAUUGCAUGUCUGUGGUUCCUGUUCCAGGGCCUCUUUAGGAGAUGUUUAAUCAGCCAACUACUCAGUCUAUCACUGCUCGCCUUUUAAGUUGCUAUUACUGAUUUCCAUAAAGAUCAAAAUAUUGAGAAAGUAAGCAAUAUCACCUAAAUGCUGGAUUGUGUAAAUACUAUCUUCCUGUUUUAUUGGUAAAAAUAAAUCCACUGUUUGAAGGAGAAAAAAUUUGUUGGUGUAAAUUGAAUCAAGUUACUACUGCUUCAAAACAUUGGAAAUCGAACUGCAGCCUGUGGACCAAACCUGUUUUUGUGUGGCCUGCAGGCUAAAAAUGGUGGUUACCUUUUUAAAUGAUUGGACAAAAAUCAAGAGAAAAAUAAUAUUUCACAACACAUGAAUAGUAUAUGAAAUUCCCACAAAUAAAGUUUUAUUGACACACAGCUCACUUGUUUAUCUAUUGUCCAUGGCUAUUUAUGCCCUCCAAUGGCAGAGCUGAGUAGUUGCAGUAGGGUCCAUUUAUGGCUGAGAAAGCCUGAAACGUUUACUCUCAGUCUCUUUCCAGAAAAAGUAUGUUGACUCCUGCUAUACUGCAGUGUUUAUCAAAACGCUGAGUUUUGGAAUUCAGAAUAUCGAUAACUUGAGCUUGUCCCCCUAGUCUGUAUUGUGACCCAAGGAAAGCAGGAAUGUCUUAUAUAGCUGCCCAGCUUCCCUCCUAUGGGCUGAAGGCAAUGUCCGAGCACAUGUAACUGGCAGACACUCCAGUGUUCAGGAAAUGACCACAGAGUGAGGCAGGCAAGCCAAGAAGCAGUCUGCAUAGGACACUGCCCCUGACACCAUGGACACUGAACUCAGUGUCACUCUUGCUGGGAAUUGUCUCUAAACUGUCUAAACUGCAUCUUUGCAGUGUGGCCUCAAUGAGGAUCAUGAACCUGGAAAGAAGUUUCUUGUUGUCUGGACCCAAGCCACAUGCCCACAUCUAAUAGGGUACAGGAGAGCGAGGUCCUCCUUCUAAUUUGCUAAUUUCCAACUCAUCCCUCCCACUAUUAUGUACAAAGCAGAGGUUUAGGCCAAAUGAGACACCAUGGCAGGCGUCCAGAGAAUGUAAAUCAAACAUCUACAUCAGGGGUUCCCUGACCUCCAGGAUCUAAUGCCUCAUGAUCUGAGGUGAAGCUGAUGCAAUCAUAAUAGAAAUAAAGUGCAUAAAUAAAUGUAAUGCCCUUGAAUCGUCUCAAAGCCAUGCCCCUUCUUGCAGUCUGUUGGAAAACUCUUCCACAAAACCGGUCCCUGGUGCCAAAAAGGUUGGGAACCUCUGUUCUACAUUUUUGCUAUUCUAAGUGUGGUCCUAAGCCCAGCAACACAAACAUAAACCUGGGAGCUUGUUUGAAACACAAUCUCUUCGGCUCAUCUCCUGACCUACUGAAUCAGAUUCUGAAUUUUAACAAGAUCCCCAGGUGUUUUGGGCUUCCCAUGUGGCGCUAAUGGUAAAGAAUCCAUCUGCCAAUGCAGGGGAUGCAAGAGACACGGGUUCGAUCCCUGGGUCGGGAGAUCCCCUGGCAAAGGGCAUGGCAACCCAUUCCAGUAUUCUUGCCUGGAGAAUCCCAUGAACAGAGGAGCCUGGCGGGCUACAGCCAAUGGGAUCUCAAAGAGUCGGACUUGACUGAGCAACUAAGCACACACGCACACCAGCUGAUUUGCAUGUACAUUAGAAAUUGAGAUGAUAUCCAAAUAAAGUCCUAAUUUGGCAGAAUUCCAUGCAGUAUUAUGAAGUGAAAGGAAAUAUUCUGGCAGUUUAAGGGACAUGUAUUUUGGGCCCUGGGAGGUUACCUGGGAACCUGCUCCCCUAGGCUCUGCCUGCUUUUCAGUUUCUUGCUUUCUCAAGCCCUCAGAUUUAAAACCUCUAAGUGUAUAGCAUUUCCCAUGGCCACAUUCUAGAAGCCUCAACAGUAACAGUAGGCAGUGGGGGAGCAGGUGUUUAAACAUGGUAGUUUUGUGAACCUUGCCCGUGUAGGUCACAGGGCCAAGUAAUAUUUUAGAGGGCCAAAGGUGAGUUUAUUGACCUAAUGUGUAUGGAUGUGAGAGUUGGACUGUGAAGAAGGCUGAGCGCCGAAGAAUUGAUGUGUUUGAACUGUGGUGUUGGAGAAGACUCUUGAGAGUCCCUUGGACUGCAAGGAGAUCCAACCAGUCCAUUCUGAAGGAGAUCAACCCUGGGAUUUCUUUGGAAGGAAUGAUGCUAAAGCUGAAACUCCAGUACUUUGGACACCUCAUGCAAAGAGUUGACUCAUUGGAAAAGACUGAUGCUGGGAGGGAUUGGGGGCAGGAGAAGAAGGGGAUGACAGAGGGUGAGAUGGCUGGAUGGCAUCACGGACUCGAUGGACGUGAGUCUGAGUGAACUCCAGGAGAUGGUGAUGAACAGGGAGGCCUGGCAUGCUGUGAUUCAUGGGGUCACAAAGAGUUGGACACAACUGAGCCACUGAACUGAACUGAAACUCAGAAAUGGAAGCUUAGUAUGCACCCAUUCAUAUUUGGAUUCAGGUUCCAGACUCUAUCACAUAUUUUUUGUGAUUUUUUGUAUAAUUUAGGUAACCAUCCUGAGCCACAAUUUUCUCAUCUCUAAGGUGAGGUUAAUAAUGUGACUACGAGAUAAUCUUUGUAAAGGGAUGCCACAGUGCCCAGCAAGAACUGUGUACUGCAUUUAUUACAGCUAUCAUUAUUCAUUUUAAAUUUGCUUCAUUCAGAGACUUUAUGCUUUAGUUAAGCAGGGUGUUAGAGCUUACUGACUCAUUUUGCAGUAGAAUUGCUACAACUACUGACACUGAGUGAUCUAUGCUGGGUUUUAGGAGUAUAGAUUUAGGCAUUCAGCUUCUAUUUCUGCCUCCAGUUUCUGUCACUAAGAGACAUCAUAGAGUAGAGUUGUUUAUACCAUCAGGACAACUUGAUAAAUUGCUAUCGUGAAUUUUAGAGGGAUGAAAGUACUUAUUUGAAAAACUGCUGAGUGUACUAAGGAUAUUUUUUAAAUAUGACUUCUGGAAUAUUGCCUCUACUGACCACAGUUGAAAAAUCUCAGCAGAACCUUUCUGUAGGGCAAAAAUGGUUACUCUUAGUUAUCAUAAACCUGCUGAAAUUUACUACCAGGCAUCUUUGGAAUAGAAGAAAAACAUUUUCAUAAGCACAGGGAAGUGGUUAGCAUCUUAAGCACAUGCUGUCCCUGAUCACUUGUCUACAUUUCCUUUGAGAAGCUAUCACUUCAGUAAAAUUGAUUCUUUAAAAAAAAAAAAAAAGUGAAUUGAAUUUAUUUCCACAGCUAAAACGUUUUGGGCACAAUGCCCCUGAAGUUAUUAAAAUAAACUCUUUAUUGAAAACCAAGAUAGGUUUUCCAGUUACUAUUUUAACUUUUACUGGCUUGUAAAUUAAGGAAGAGUGCAGUUAUAGAGUCAAAAACUAGCUAAUAAAGCGUGAAGAAGUUGUUAAUAAAUGAACUAGAUACAUAAAAUUCUUAAACCAUAUCUCAGGCCUUUAUCCUCAGUUGAUUAAUAUAUUUCUCCCAUGUACACUUGUUAAAGACACCUCUAACAUAGAAGGUCCCAGGUUACUUUUGACUAGAAUCUAAAUGUAAGUUUGCAGAAAAAUAGCCCCUGGGCUUUGAAGCACAUGGCUAAAAGGUACCAAAUGAAAGAAAAUGUUGUGUUAUUUAAUAUCCAGGCAAUAUUAUUAAUAUUGGCCAGGCAUUGUAGGGAGAAGGCAACGGCAACCCACUGCAGUACUCUUGCCUGGACAAUCCCAUGGAUGGAGGAGCCUGGUAGGCUUCGGUCCAUGGGGUCGCUAUGAGUCAGACACGACUGAGCGACUUCACUUUCACUUUCCACUUUCAUGCAUUGGAGAAGGAAAUGGCAACCCACUCCAGUGUUCUUGCCUGGAGAGUCCCAGGGACAGGGGAGCCUGGUGGGCUGCCGUCUAUGGAGUCGCACAGAGUCGGACACGACUGAAGUGACUUAGCAGCAGCAGCAGCAGGCAGUGUAGGGGACACUAUCAGAAUGAAGUGUGUGGGAGUUUCCCCCUAUUCUUUAAACAAGAGAACUUCUAGAUGCUUCUGUAAAUGCGGGAGUCAGUUUGACCUUGCAUAAAAUCUUCCUUGUUCUAGUGAAAUGUGCUUGAGUAGUUGCCCUCAGAAUGCAAGGCCAGGAGACUUCCUGCUCCCACUGCUACGUGGAGCCCAAAGCAUUGGGCGCUGAGCUGACUCCAGAUUGGAACGUCCACCCCAGUUCUGGCUCAGAUGCAGGACAUCGUCGACGCCUAAUUGACUUCCUUUUCUCUUCUGGAGCUCAUCUCAUGGUCUUAAGUCUUCUAUAAAUCUUCCUAACCAUAACCCUAUUGAAAACCCGUAAUUUAGGUGCUAACAGAAGAAAACAAAUUCUCCUCGAUUUGCUCCCUGUCAUCAGGGCUAAGCCCCUCUUGCAAUAGCAGCACCUCCUCUGACCAAUCUCAUGAGCAGAUCUAUCCUCUUUAAACUUAUUGGUCAUAUCCUGGCCCCACUGUCACCAAGAAUGAGGUCUCCCUUCAGAUCUAUAAAUCCGUCCCACCAACAUUUCAACGUGCUUAAGUAUCUUCUGCCUGAUAAAAUCUGCCUCAGCCACAUGUUCCUUUCCAGCCACUCCCCUUUCUUCUUUCUAACUGCAGUUCUUAAAGGUCUUAGAAGAGAGUCCGCUCUGUGCACACGCACACACACACUUCUCACUCUUCUCAUCUUCAUCCAAAGUAACCUGUCUUUCCUACAGCUUCACUGACUUCACUUUCAGCGGGGUCCUCAGAGAUUUCCUUGUCACCAGUGUUUGGCAGCAGUCUCACUGUCAUUGAUUCAUUCUUCCUUCUGGAAACCUCUUCUAUUAGCUUCCCUGAGUCCGGUGCCACCUCUCUGGUGACUGUUGCCCAGUCUCCUUUGAAGUUUUUCUUGUAUUCCCACCGUUGCCCCAUAUGAUGUCCAGAGCGUUAAGGAGCCCCUCCUGGUCCCUUUCUCAUUCAACACACACAGGCUGUAUAAUUUCAGCCACCUCUAGGAUUUAAUACCACCAGAUUAGUGUGGCCUCCUCAUUCUGAGCUCCAGACAGGAAGUCGUUGGCCAUUUCCACCUUCAUGAAAUGCUCUCUUCUCU